rnacentral:rRNA from 1 species
UGGGGAAUUCUGGACAAUGGGCGCAAGCCUGAUCCAGCCAUGCCGCGUGCGGGAAGAAGGCCUUCGGGUUGUAAACCGCUUUUGUCAGGGAAGAAAUCUUCUGAGUUAAUACCUCGGGAGGAUGACGGUACCUGAAGAAUAAGCACCGGCUAACUACGUGCCAGCAGCCGCGGUAAUACGUAGGGUGCAAGCGUUAAUCGGAAUUACUGGGCGUAAAGCGUGCGCAGGCGGUUUUGUAAGACAGAGGUGAAAUCCCCGGGCUCAACCUGGGAACUGCCUUUGUGACUGCAAGGCUUGAGUGCGGCAGAGGGGGAUGGAAUUCCGCGUGUAGCAGUGAAAUGCGUAGAUAUGCGGAGGAACACCGAUGGCGAAGGCAAUCCCCUGGGCCUGCACUGACGCUCAUGCACGAAAGCGUGGGGAGCAAACAGAUUAGAUACCCUGGUAGUCCACGCCCUAAACGAUGUCAACUGGUUGUUGGGAAGGUUCCUUCUCAGUAACGUAGCUAACGCGUGAAGUUGACCGCCUGGGGAGUACGGCCGCAAGGUUGAAACUUAAAUGAAUUGACGGGGUCAUAGC